rnacentral:ribozyme from 1 species
UACAAAUUGUUCUGUAAAAGGGUUGGAUCCGACGCCUCUAGAAGACUACUAUAGGCUCUCCUUCUCAACUCCUACUCAAUACGUCCACGUCGUGCAGAACGGUAACUUGUUGCUCAGAUCCAAGCUUGGGUACACGGGGAAACCCAACCCCUUGGGCGGAUGAGCGGCAAGGCAGAAUUGAGAGGU